AAAUUCAGAGAUGUUGCAAUUGUGCCACCUGAUAAUUUUCGUCCUUAUCUGACAUCUUUUCAGAGUAAUGAUAAUACAGAUUACAUCAAUGCUGUUUUUGUCGACGGUUAUACGAGAUCAAAGGAGUACAUCAACACUGAAUGGCCACUACAGCGCACAGUUCAAGAUUUCUGGUCAUUAGUCUAUGAUCAUGAUUGCAACACCGUGGUUGUUCUAUGCAGUCCACCACCCUCACAU